AAGCUUCCAUCUGAUUGCCAGCAUACUGCUGAAGAAGAUUGAAAUCUGACUGAAGUAUUCUAGCAUAAAGCUAUUGUUUUCCAUUCCAAGCUAGGAGAAGAUUUCCCAUGUGGAUGUUUUAGGUUUCAUGGGAGAAGACCCCUCAGAGAUGAGGAGAGGAAGCAAGUGAAGAUGAGCAGCAAUUCUGAGGUCACUAUGAUGAUGUAUGCAAUUUUCAUGCAAAUUUCACUCAAAAUGCAGAAAUAAAAGAAUGGACAUUUCUUCCAACAAUUGCACAGCAACACCUGGAGGAUCCCUAGCACUACGUUGGAGAAGUUCUA